rnacentral:misc_RNA from 1 species
AAGUCGUAACAAGGUUUCCGUAGGUGAACCUGCGGAAGGAUCAUUAACACGUAUCCACGUUCUUAUAAACUAAUCCGCUGCAUUGAACUCCCUAUCUAUUCUAAGUCAAGGCUGUUGUUCAUGGUGUUGUGAUGGGUCCGUACUCUUUCGAGAGGGGGGCAUGCACUGUGAGACUGUCACUCCCAUUUCGGUGGAGAGUGAGGCUGAGGAAUUGAAUAGAAGGCUUUCCUCAUUCCUGUGGCCAACCAUUUUGGUCCAUGGAAUGAUACCCAUACCCCUUAUUUCACCCUAUUUUACCCUAUUUGACUAAUUUACAUUCGAUCAGAGAAAUCUGGUUUGAAUUCUAAGAUAUUAUCUUAACUAAGCACAACUCUUAGCAAUGGAUAUCUUGGUUCUC